CUAGUUAGGGGUUAGUACGACCUACUUUUCCCUAUUCUGGGGGUCGGGCAUCACCACCUGACCUUUCUAAACAUCAUCCACAUGGGCACAGUGUUUUGGAGUGCACUGAUGCCACGUCUUAGGUGACUUGGAGUAGCCCUGGUGCCAACCUUUUUGGAAGAUCCAGACACUGCCUUUCUUCGAUGAACACCAACACAGCAAGAGAGAAGCACAAUCUCCAGUAAUGGAACAACUUAAAAGGAAUCAGAAAAUAGCACAGAAAGAGGAAAUGUUUCUGGCCCUCCCGGGUGGCGCA